rnacentral:tRNA from 1 species
UGGCUCAGAUGGUAAAGCAUCUGUCUACAAUGCAGGAGACCCUGGUUCAAACCCUGG